GGUUUCUCUUAUAUGAUCAAUAAGAAUACUUGUAACAUAAUCAAUGACUUGGUGCAUAUUUGAGGAUGUUGAUUGCAAUCCACAGUCAAUAAAUUUGUUUGGUAGCAUGUUAUAUUUAAUACCUGACAUACAGUUGUCCAUUCUUAUAAAUGGUUAGUUUAUUCAUGUAAUCAGCAAGAAAAUUGACCUGAUCCAUUGUUGUAGUGCCGAAAAGUCCUUUUGAAAGUUUACUAUGAAAGGCAAAAGUGCACUUUUACUUCUAGAUAAGAUUAUGGUUGAUUAAAGAAUAAGACUCAAUACUCGAAAUUGUACACUUGUAUUUUGCUCCUGUUCAUUGUCUGAGGCUUUUUAUUCGAGUCAUCAUGUGAGAUAACAUGUGACACGAUUGAUUGUUCACUUAACAAGCUGGAAGUGCAGGCACAUCAAAUUAUUUUGUGUUCCCUUUAAUUAAAGCAUAUUGUCUAUUUAUUAAAAGGGUGUUAUUUUCAACUGCUAAUAUGUAAAGGUGAUUUUCCUGUAAAAGACUAUUUUUCGUCUUAACCAUUUGAAAAUUUAAGUGCGUUUGCCUUUGUUAUUUAGCCCUUUUACAUUUACAGUACAUAUGUUAAUACUCAUUCAAAAGACAGAGAAUUACAUGAUACUAUUCUUGUUCCAAACAUUUAAAAAUCAUUUUGUAGAACUAGAUUAUUAGUUAAUACUUCAUUAUACAAAGUUAUAUUAAGCUUUGAUGUUUAAAACCAUCAACUUCCAUGUUCUACAAGUUGUUAAUGCAUUGUGUUCAUUAAAUUCAUCUCAGCACUAAAUACUUGUUCAUUUUUAUGCCCCCCUUCGAAGAAGAGGGGGUAUAUUGCUUUACUCAUGUCGGUCGGUCUGUCGGUCUGUCGGUCUGUCGGUCCGUCCACCAGGUGGUUGUCAGACGAUAACUCAAGAACGCUUGGGCCUAGGAUCAUGAAACUUCAUAGGUACAUUGAUCAUGACUCGCAGAUGACCCCUAUUGAUUUUGAGGUCACUAGGUCAAAGGUCAAGGUCACGGUGACCCGAAAUAGUAAAAUGGUUUUCGGAUGAUAACUCAAGAACGCAUAUGCCUAGGAUCAUGAAACUUCACAGGUAGAUUGAUCAUGACUCGCAGAUGACCCCUAUUGAUUUUGAGGUCACAAGGUCAAAGGUCAAGGUCACGGUGAC